CUAGCAAGCAAAACAAAGCAGAUCAAAAGGACGGAGCAGAGGUACCCUACUCUCUCUUACCACUUAGGAUUUGUUCGGUUAGCUCUCAAUCCACGUGGAUUGAGUGGGAUUGGGUUUCAAGAUAUAGUGGGGUGUCUGCCUUCAAUUUUCUUAAGAUCUAUCGCUGAGUGGAGAAAGUUCAUUGCUCGACGGUUCAUGAAAACAACCAAGAUUUUCACUCUCUGCUCGAUUUCAAGAACAAUAUCACCAAUGAUCCAAAAGGAGUCAUGAACAGUUGGACCAACAACACCCACUUCUGCAGUGGAACAGUGUGAAGUGCACCUUGACGCCACCAUAUGGUGGCACGGAGCUCAACCUCUCCUACAACAACUUAGCUGGCCAAAUCUCCUAUCUUGGAAACCUGACCUAUCUUAAUUUGCUGGCUCUACCAAAUAAUAGAUUUGGUGGCCUAAUCAAAUAUGUACUAGGAUCAAGUCUCACACAUAUGAUGACUCAUGGUACAGAAACGAA